GUGCACACUGAUAUGAUAAAGACAAUUUUUUUUAGCCAGUUAGCAAAAAAGCCAACCCUGAAAUAAUUGCACCCCUUGUUUGAAACUCCCUUGAGUCUAUUAUCCUUUUUUUGUUUAAAACUCAUUACAAGCCGAGAAGUGAAAAACAAUGUUAUCACCCUAUUCAAAGGGUUGAAAGAGUCUUGUUUGGAGUUGUGUGGGGUUGAAUAAUUAUGUUUGUAAUAUUUUAGAAGUUGGCAGAAAAAGAAAAAAAAAUAGAAAAAGAAAAUAGAAAAGAAAAAGAAGAGGAAGAAAAAAAUAGAAGGAUAAGAGGAAGAAAAAAAGCAAUUAUGUUUGUAUUAUUUCAAUACAUGUCAAUACAUACUCCUUCAAAAAAAAGAAUAAAAAGAGG
rnacentral:lncRNA from 1 species